CAGGUCACUCCUACGGGAGGCAGCAGAUUGGGCCGGUACUGACGCUCAGGCACGAAAGCAUGGGGAUCAAACGGGAUUAGAUACCCUGGUAGUCCACGCCCUAAACGAUGCAUAUUUGGUGUAGGUCAUUCAGUUGAUCUGUGCCGGAGCUAACGCGUUAAAUAUGCCGCCUGGGGAGUACAGUCGCAAGGCUGAAAUUUAAACGACUUGACCGGCGGUUUUCCUGAGAUUUCUAGAAUUCUGACUGCCACCCAUUGCGGCCCCUUCCUGUGUUAAUCCAGUCUCCUCUAUUCUGCUGCCCUUCCCAGGUUGAGCCAGGGGUUUUUACAUCCAAAUUUAGGAACCGCCUCCGCGUCCCUUUCCCCCACUAAUUAGUACAAGCG
rnacentral:rRNA from 1 species